UUCACAGUGGCUAAGUUCAGUG
rnacentral:miRNA from 4 species